AGCUCCAAUAGCGUAUAUUAAAGUUGUUGCAGUUAAAAAGCUCGUAGUUGGAUUUGUGGGUGGAGCGAAUGUCCCGACGCUUAGCGUGGGUGAUGUUCGUCUCCGUCCAUCUUUGGGUGGAAUCUGUGUGGCAUUAAGUUGUCGUGCAGGGGAUGCCCAUCUUUUACUGUGAAAAAAUUAGAGUGUUCAAAGCAGGCUUACGCCGUUGAAUAUAUUAGCAUGGAAUAAUAAGAUAGGACCUGGGUACUAUUUUGUUGGUUUGCGCACCGAGGUAAUGAUUAAUAGGGACAGUUGGGGGUAUUCGUAUUCCAUUGUCAGAGGUGAAAUUCUUGGAUUUUUGGAAGACGAACGACUGCGAAAGCAUUUACCAAGGAUGUUUUCAUUAAUCAAGAACGAAAGU
rnacentral:rRNA from 1 species